GCAAGUCGAACGGUAACAGAACUAGCUUGCUAGUUGCUGACGAGUGGCGGACGGGUGAGUAAUGCUUGGGAAUUUGCCUUUAGGUGGGGGACAACAGUUGGAAACGACUGCUAAUACCGCAUAAUGUCUACGGACCAAAGGGGGCUUCGGCUCUCGCCUUUAGAUUGGCCCAAGUGGGAUUAGCUAGUUGGUGAGGUAAAGGCUCACCAAGCCCACGAUCCCUAGCUGGUCUGAGAGGAUGAUC
rnacentral:rRNA from 1 species